rnacentral:tRNA from 1 species
ACCCUUGUAGCUUAAUGAAUAAAGCAUCGAGCUUCUACCUCGAGUGAUGCGGGUUUGACUCCUGCCAAGGGUA